rnacentral:rRNA from 1 species
AAGGUAGCGAAAUUCCUUGUCGGGUAAGUUCCGACCUGCACGAAUGGCGUAACGAUGGCGGCGCUGUCUCCACCCGAGACUCAGUGAAAUUGAAAUCGCUGUGAAGAUGCAGUGUAUCCGCGGCUAGACGGAAAGACCCCGUGAACCUUUACUAUAGCUUUGCACUGGACUUUGAAUUUGCUUGUGUAGGAUAGGUGGGAGGCUUUGAAGCGUGGACGCCAGUCUGCGUGGAGCCAUCCUUGAAAUACCACCCUGGCAACUUUGAGGUUCUAACUCAGGUCCGUUAUCCGGAUCGAGGACAGUGUAUGGUGGGUAGUUUGACUGGGGCGGUCUCCUCCUAAAGAGUAACGGAGGAGUACGAAGGUGCGCUCAGACCGGUCGGAAAUCGGUCGUAGAGUAUAAAGGCAAAAGCGCGCUUGACUGCGAGACAGACACGUCGAGCAGGUACGAAAGUAGGUCUUAGUGAUCCGGUGGUUCUGUAUGGAAGGGCCAUCGCUCAACGGAUAAAAGGUACUCCGGGGAUAACAGGCUGAUACCGCCCAAGAGUUCAUAUCGACGGCGGUGUUUGGCACCUCGAUGUCGGCUCAUCACAUCCUGGGGCUGAAGCCGGUCCCAAGGGUAUGGCUGUUCGCCAUUUAAAGUGGUACGCGAGCUGGGUUUAGAACGUCGUGAGACAGUUCGGUCCCUAUCUGCCGUGGACGUUUGAGAUUUGAGAGGGGCUGCUCCUAGUACGAGAGGACCGGAGUGGACGAACCUCUGGUGUUCCGGUUGUCACGCCAGUGGCAUUGCCGGGUAGCUAUGUUCGGAAAAGAUAACCGCUGAAAGCAUCUAAGCGGGAAACUUGCCUCAAGAUGAGAUCUCACUGGAGCCUUGAGCUCCCUGAAGGGCCGUCGAAGACUACGACGUUGAUAGGCAGGGUGUGUAAGCGCUGUGAGGCGUUGAGCUAACCUGUACUAAUUGCCCGUGAGGCUUGACCAUAUAACACCCAAGCA